CCUCGCGCUCGUGCUGUUUCGUCCGCAGCCAUCAAGUUCUUCUCCGACCAGGGUCCUCCGCCAUGGUCGUGUCUGCCCGAGCUUCGCCUCUGCUUGUUUCUUAUUGUUCCGUGCCUUCCUCCUAUCAACAUGGCAAGCAGCAGCUUAGUGAUCCCGCGGGGAGAGACACUUCUUUUGACGAGGAGCCUUCCCAGUAUCAACAUCAGCAACCGUAGCCAGAUGAUCCGGCGCUGCUGAUGGGCCUAGCCCAGAUCCUCCAUCACAGUCCAUCGCCCGCACGGCCCGAAGUUGCUGUCGCCUAUGCAGAUUAUAUCCGGCCCAGACAGCGCAGCAUUUGCUUCUUCCCGGAUAGGAUCACGAAGUGGUGCGGUGAGAUACGA